rnacentral:rRNA from 1 species
CCUACGGGUGGCAGCAGUAGGGAAUUUUGCGCAAUGGGCGAAAGCCUGACGCAGCAACGCCGCGUGAUCGAGACGCCCUUCGGGGUGUAAAGAUCUGUCAGUGGGGACGAAACUUGACGGUACCCACAGAGGAAGCAUCGGCUAACUCCGUGCCAGCAGCCGCGGUAAUACGGAGGAUGCGAGCGUUAUCCGGAUUUAUUGGGUUUAAAGGGUGCGUAGGCGGGCUUUUAAGUCAGCGGUAAAAAUUCGGGGCUCAACCCCGUCCGGCCGUUGAAACUGGGGGCCUUGAGUGGGCGAGAAGAAGGCGGAAUGCGUGGUGUAGCGGUGAAAUGCAUAGAUAUCACGCAGAACCCCGAUUGCGAAGGCAGCCUUCCGGCGCCCUACUGACGCUGAGGCACGAAAGUGCGGGGAUCGAACAGGAUUAGAUACCCGAGUAGUC